UCACUCGUCACUGCAGUUUAUUCACCACACCCGGACUACUAACUCCAUCUGGAGAAUCAUUCGAAAUCUUAUGGCUACAUUAUAUGAAAUAUGUAUGAAAAGGGAUACGAAAUCAUUAGUUACGAUCCUGGUCUUAAAGUUCUUCGAUUUCACCAUACUUGGAAUAAGUUCUCGCUGAAAAAUUCAUUACCAUAUUUGGAUAAGAUCGGUUCUGAUAGAUGUACAUAUAUACCAAUUUAAACUCUUACUUUCAUACCAAAUUAAAUUCACGAGAAUCUUGUUUUUUUUUAAAUAACGAAUUAAACAAAUAAAUCGAGUAUAGCGCUAUUGGGGACAAUCAGCGCUACCUACAGUACGAUGAUGGAACUAAACUCCAUUCAAAUUUAUUUCAAAACGUGUUAUCAUAUUUAUUUGAAAUAUUUAUUGUAAAAAAGUGAAUAAAAAAUGUGAAAAAU